rnacentral:sRNA from 1 species
UUGCGCAAGCAGUGUUUAUUUGAGCAAUCUUCGCAAUCCUCUGUCGCGCCUCCCGGCCUAUUCUUAUCACCAGAAUCACUGCUCGGUAACACAGUCCACUGCGGCCCGCCCAAUCAGGCCCGCCGCGGCCGCCACCCCCACCGGGGCUGGGCCGGCCCCCGAGCUGCACACUGUCCAGAAGACGGCGUGAGGUGAGCCGACGUCAAAAGCGUCGAGCCAGGACGAAGUUCUCUAAAGGGAGGCCGACGGGUCUCCCU